GAUCAUGGCUCAGGAUUAACGCUGGCGGCGUGCUUAACACAUGCAAGUCGAACGAGGAUUUAACGGAAUGCGAUUCGUCAAAUGAAAUUAAAUCCGAGUGGCGGACGGGUGAGUAACGCGUGGAUAACCUGCCUCACACAGGGGGACAACAGUUGGAAACGACUGCUAAUACCGCAUAACACAAGUAAUUCGCAUGAAUAACUUGCCAAAGAUUAUAUCGGUGUGAGAUGGAUCCGCG
rnacentral:rRNA from 1 species